rnacentral:rRNA from 1 species
AUUGAACGCUGGCGGCAUGCCUUACACAUGCAAGUCGAACGGCAGCACGGGUGCUUGCACCUGGUGGCGAGUGGCGAACGGGUGAGUAAUACAUCGGAACGUACCUUAUCGUGGGGGAUAACGCAGCGAAAGCUGUGCUAAUACCGCAUACGCCCUGAGGGGGAAAGCGGGGGAUCGAAAGACCUCGCGCGAUUAGAGCGGCCGAUGCCUGAUUAGCUUGUUGGUGGGGUAAAAGCCCACCAAGGCGACGAUCAGUAGCUGGUCUGAGAGGACUAUCAGCCACACCGGGACUGAGACACGGCCCAGACUCCUACGGGAGGCAGCAGUGGGGAAUUUUGGACAAUGGGGGCAACCCUGAUCCAGCAAUGCCGCGUGAGUGAAGAAGGCCUUCGGGUUGUAAAGCUCUUUUGUCAGGGAAGAAACACCGGCUCUAACACAGUCCGGGAAUGACGGUACCUGAAGAAUAAGCACCGGCUAACUACGUGCCAGCAGCCGCCGUAA